GAUGAACGCUGGCGGCGUGCCUAAUACAUGCAAGUCGAGCGAACGGACGAGAAGCUUGUUCCUCUGAUGUUAGCGGCGGACGGGUGAGUAACACGUGGAUAACCUACCUAUAAGACUGGGAUAACUUCGGGAAACCGGAGCUAAUACCGGAUAAUAUUUUGAACCGCAUGGUUCAAAAGUGAAAGACGGUUUUGCUAUCACUUAUAGAUGGUUCCGCGCUGCAUUAGCUAGUUGGUAAGGUAACGGCUUACCAAGGCAACGAAGCUUAGCCGCCCUGGGGGGGGGAUCGGCCACACUGGAACUGAGACACGGUCCAGACUCCUACGGGAGGCAGCAGUAGGGAAUCUUCCGCAAUGGGCGAAAGCCUGACGGAGCAACGCCGCGUGAGUGAUGAAGGUCUUCGGAUCGUAAAACUCUGUUAUUAGGGAAGAACAUAUGUGUAAGUAACUGUGCACAUCUUGACGGUACCUAAUCAGAAAGCCACGGCUAACUACGUG
rnacentral:rRNA from 1 species